rnacentral:lncRNA from 1 species
GGCGUGGUCGGGAGGGGGGGGGGAUAUGUCACUCUUGGCUGUCUUCAAAACUUGAGAGCCCUGCGCAUUAUCAUUAUCAAAAGUGAUGGCAUGUGAUAAAUAAACAGCAGGAUAUCAUACGGAGUUUCUUAAUAAGCUACUUCCAUUGUUAGUAGGUCUACUGAGAAAUUAAUCGAUAACGUCGAUGUCUAUUGCCUGCUUAAUUUAAAAUAUGGCUUGUAUUUCUGUGCACGGAGGAUAAUUAAAAGUAAGCAGACAGGAUGCGGUACUAUCAAUCAUAAAUAUCACAUUUAGCUACCAUAACUAAGGCCCCUCACCCCUCCCUUCCUCGCUGACACAUCUUUAACAGCUUUUCUGAGGAAACGAAAGUAACACAGGACAGAUGCCCACGGAGGAGGAGCCUUCAGGUAUAAAAGAUCUUGUCACCGUUGUCAGGUCCUUUCUAUCCUGCAGACUCGUCUGCCCGAAGGAUCUUGGGUGAGUAGCCUACCUUAGCAUUUUACAAAUAAAUGUAAAAACCGUAACGAAGAAAAACUUCAACCUGCAGCCUGCAAGUCACAGGAAUAAUAAUAAAAAUAAGGGAAAACGUCUUAGCGCCUAGAGACAAGAGACAAUUGUAUUGUGGCGCUAUAUAAAUAAAAUUGAAUUGAAUUGAAUUUAGUUCAUGCUUUUCGAGGGAAUGAAUGACAUUCAUCUUCGAUGUCUUGAGAUGCACUAGGUAUCUUAUUUGUCGAUGAGAAAACCCCACCUAUGUUGUAUUCCUCACACAGGGCCAUAGAGACGUUCUUCGCGUUGAAGAUGCUGUCGGUCAACGAUGGUCCAAUGGGUGAACAUCCUGUCGAUCAACGAUGACCAACGAUCGUCAAUCGACAAUCGUCGGUUAUCGUUGACCUACAAUGGUGGGAACAGCCAUCCAUCGUUGACAGAUGCCAUAGAGCCUCAUUCUGUCUGCUUGCACUCUUUAUGUUUUUGGAGAAGUGGAGGAAAAUCCCUGCUCCCAAGGGUAGGGUCACUUGGACCUUGUGUGCUUUAGUCCGGUGAUGUCAGCGGAGGAUCCCGACUCGUCGAGGUUCCCCGUUGUUCCCCGGUCUGGAGGCACAGGUCUCUAGUGAGCAGCGCCUGGUGUCCCCAUCGACUGCUGACGAAGCAACAGACCAAAGAAGCAACCCAUGCAAGAAGCAACCACAACAAACAAAGCAAACAAACAAACAAAGCAAACAAACAAACAAACAAACAAACCACGAAAAAGUUUAAAAGCUUAAAAUGUUAAAGUUACCCUCUACAGGGUGGCUUCUAGUUGUCUGUUGCUUGGUUGGUGGGUCGAGGGGACCCAUUCGUGAAACACACCCCGACAGUUUCUAAUAAGUAAUGCUGUACGCUUGUUUUCCUUACAAAAAAAAUUAAUAAAAAUGGCAAAAGCUGUAACGGAAACCUUUUU